GGCUCACCAAGGCGACGAUCCGUAACUGGUCUGAGAGGAUGAUCAGUCACACUGGAACUGAGACACGGUCCAGACUCCUACGGGAGGCAGCAGUGGGGAAUAUUGGACAAUGGGCGAAAGCCUGAUCCAGCCAUGCCGCGUGUGUGAAGAAGGUCUUCGGAUUGUAAAGCACUUUAAGUUGGGAGGAAGGGCAUUAACCUAAUACGUUAGUGUUUUGACGUUACCGACAGAAUAAGCACCGGCUAACUCUGUGCCAGCAGCCGCGGUAAUACAGAGGGUGCAAGCGUUAAUCGGAAUUACUGGGCGUAAAGCGCGCGUAGGUGGUUUGUUAAGUUGGAUGUGAAAGCCCCGGGCUCAACCUGGGAACUGCAUCCAAAACUGGCAAGCUAGAGUACAGUAGAGGGUGGUGGAAUUUCCUGUGUAGCGGUGAAAUGCGUAGAUAUAGGAAGGAACACCAGUGGCGAAGGCGACCACCUGGACUGAUACUGACACUGAGGUGCGAAAGCGUGGGGAGCCAACAGG
rnacentral:rRNA from 1 species